rnacentral:tRNA from 10 species
GGCCGAGAUAGCUCAGUCGGUA